rnacentral:lncRNA from 13 species
UGCCCACCUGCAUAGCUUCCUUCUGAUCUCUCCCAACCAGCGCUGACAGUAUAGCUCAAGGGAAAUCAGGAUGUUAGGAAAACCGACUUUGACGGCGCGUACUGAAACGCUCAGAAUUCUAUGGCAUGGUUCAGCAUGAGAAAGUUGCAGACCUGUGACAAUGUGACAGUGGUCCUACUUCAUGGCGACAGAAUGCAGCUGUGGUGUUCAGAAGAAAGUGCCUUGGCCAGUACUGCUCAACAGUUCACCUGGGAUAGUGUCGGAGGGAAAAGUUACCCACCUGAUAGAUACCUGGCCUUUUCACCCACAUGGGAUGUCAGCAAGGCUAAAAAGCCUGAAAAUCUCCUGUGGUCACUGAUCCACUCCAGAGGAAGCACCAUCAGAUUGAUUCACUGUCUGGAAAGGCAAGCUGUGGUCAGAUGCUAGAGAUCCUUGAAGUCUGCAUAAUGAUGUAGUACAAUUAAGACUGUAGACAAUGGGAGCCACUGAAAAUUCCAGAGCAUCAGUGUGUCAUGUCUGCUUUGACAGAUGUGGUUAGGGUGGAGAAAAGAAGACUCUUGGCAGUGAGACAAGUGAAGAUAGAAAACGAAGCAAGAAGAGGCAAGCAAUUCCGAAGGAGGCGAGAAGUGGAGGGGAGGAUAGACGUGAAGAGCAGUGGUGGGUACGUGGACCUCUCCUUCAUCUCCCCAACUGACUCAUGACCAAGAGUCAAGUUUUCAAGGCUUGACACGUAGAAGGACAAUGUUGGUCCAAAUACUACCAGCCUCAGCAGACUAACAGGAUGCUGAGGAUGGAGAAGAAGAUGAGCUUUGACACAAACUUGGGAGACUUAAACUCUUUCUCCGUUGUUUCACUGAAGAAAGGGCCCCACUUCAAAUUCCUGCAGAGAAAUUUGCAGCUCAUAGCUGCCAGUCUGGGGACACCUACAGAGAGGCAGUGCAUUGAGGUGGCUCCCUGGGUUUGAAACCUGACUUAGAAUUUUUCUAGCUUAAUAGAGAUGUUAAGGACCCUUAACAUCUGUGCCUACAUUUCCUCACCUGUAAAAUUGAAAUAAAAAUGAUGCCCACAUCA